ensembl:lncRNA
UUGGCAUCUCUUUCGACCGCUGCUACCAACUACCAAGCCCAGUAUCUUCAGAGGACAGGAUUCUUACAGGAUGUAAAGAUUUGUUGUAAUUCAAAUGUUUGAGAAAGUGAUGAGUAUAGUAAAAGUCGAGGUAUGAGGCCAUUUUCCAGUGGUUCUUGCUCACUGGCCUACAGUAUCUCAGAGGAGGACACCGGUUCUCUACGGAGCGACAGCGAGGGUCGCAGCGGGAACAGAGUGGGCCGGACCUUCAGCUACCUGAAGAACAAGAUGACCAGGAAGAGCAGGGAGAAAGAGAAGAAGACGCUGAACGGUCAUGUUUUCAGUCCGUCGUCUUCCCCGCAGGCGACGCUCUGCGUCAUCUGUAGCAAAGCCCUCAGCGCCAAAGACUUCUUCACCUGCUCACGUAAGACCGUCAUGGCCGCCUCGCGUCUCCUAAUGGCUGCAGCACCACACACAGGAAACUGUUGAUUAAAAAUCGACUGACGUGUGUAAUAUCAGCAUUGGUGGCAGGUAUAGAAAUGUCCUGGAUGAUCAUGAAGUUGUUAAUUAGUUGCUUCCAUUUUUGAGAUAGAUGAUACAGUGCGGUUGAUGGCAUUGGCAUUGAAUACUCAUGAUAUCGCCUCUAUGAGUUGUAGUUAUGUAGUUGUGAGCAGGGUUGUGUUCUACUGGGUCGGAAUAAGAACUUUGCAUCACAUCAACAGAUGUUUAGCAGCUGUGUAGCAGGAGAACACUGAGCUGCAUGUACCUAACGACCAGGAGAAGUAGAAGGUUCAAUAAAGAGAACAAUAGCUCCAGGAACUACAAUUAGAGCUCAUUAUCUGGGCUUAUUGGCUGGCUAGUCACUAAUAAACUGCACAACAUGUAGCGUAAUGGGUAACAUUAAAACAAUGUUGGCACACCCUUGCUGCUGCUCUUGCUUUGCCUGGCUGCCCUUAGCAUACAUUUACAUUACAUUAAGUCUUUAUAAUGACUUAUUGAAGCGGGACAGAGAACAAUCAACAUUUACCUACUGAAUGCACUAUGUACAGCACUUUGGUCAGUGCAAACUGUUAUAAAUGUGCUUUUAUAAGUAAUGUCUUUAAACAUAAUUUAGACUUAAAGUAUAUUUUAGAAGUAGGAC